GUGAGGAAUAUUGGUCAAUGGACGAGAGUCUGAACCAGCCAAGUCGCGUGAAGGAAGACGGUUCUAUGAAUUGUAAACUUCUUUUGUGCAGGAAUAAAGUGGGUUACGUGUAACCUUUUGUAUGUACUGUACGAAUAAGGAUCGGCUAACUCCGUGCCAGCAGCCGCGGUAAUACGGAGGAUCCGAGCGUUAUCCGGAUUUAUUGGGUUUAAAGGGUGCGUAGGUGGAUUGAUAAGUCAGCGGUGAAAGUUUGCAGCUUAACUGUAAAAUUGCCGUUGAAACUGUCGGUCUUGAGUGCAAAUGAGGUAGGCGGAAUGUGUUGUGGAGCGGUGAGAUGCUUAGAUAUAACGCAGAACUCCGAUUGCGAAGGCAGCUUACUGGGAUGCAACUGACACUGAUGCACGAAAGCGUGGGUAUCAAACAGGAUUAGAAACCCUGGUAGUCC
rnacentral:rRNA from 1 species